CCUUCCUUGCUCUACGUCCCAAUACCUCACGUCUCUCUAUCUAUAUAAAAACAAAUCUCACGUCUUCCUCCUUCCUCUAGGUCAGCGAAAGGAAAGGAACUCCCAAUCUCAGAACUCCAGCCUUUCCCGGCGGCGACCAUGAUCUCAGAUCGAACCCUACCCAGCGUCAUGAUGAUCUCACAUCGAGUCCUCUCCGAAGGCCGCCGUCUCCCCUAUGUGAGCCACCCCUCCUCUUCUCUCUAAACAUCUAUAUCUAUGUACCACUUGCAGUGCUGGAUAGCGGGAGCUGAGACGAGGGGAAGGAAGAGAAGAGAGUCGUUCUCAGGAUAUUCGCCUUCAUCAAGGCCCAAUCCCUCUAUCCCUUCCGAUUAAUUCCUCCUCAUGGUUAAUCUUGCGCAAUUCCAUCUAUACAUGAUCCGUACGUGUUGUCCAAUGUAAUUUUUUCCCACUGCUGCUGCUUUUGAUUUACAUGUCCUGCUCACAAACAAUAGGCAUUUGUAGUGAUUUAACAACAAGGGAACCUACAGAUUGUUGUCAACAUGUUUCAUGAGCGAGCGAGUGGUUGCCUCCUGAGAGAACUGUUGAGGAUCAGAUGCUAAUAAUGUAUGGACGCUAACCAACGGGUACGUAAAAAAAUCUAGCUAACGAGGUUGUGGAAGAGCGUCCAUUUUAAUUCUAAACAGCUAGGGGACGACGUCUUUUCCUCCCCACGUCGGCAGCCACCCAGAUAAUAAAAGAAUUAGACUUCUUGAGAUGCGCCUACGUAAUGAAAGGAAGAAAUUGGAUCAAAGUAUAGAAGAUGAAUUUGGGAGGAAAGCUGCUGUAAGUCCUCUGAUCUACUCUUCAUCCUUCUAACUAGCUACUUCGUUCUUCCUGUAAUUUGCAUGCCUGUGUGGUCUGAUGCUUCCUGUGAGAACAAGCAUAUAUGUGUUUGCUGUGUUGUAUGUCUGGAGUUAGUUCUUUCUCCCCCUGAAUUAACAAGAGCACUUAGUUAACAAUGCCUUGCGGAGACAAAAUGGUGAAUUUUUUCUGUCCUAUGGACCUAGGUUUUGAUAUGUCUAAUUAUGGUAGUUUUAGGUUCUUCACUUGAUAUAUAAGAUGCACACACAAGUGUUCCUUCCUCAUUUUUGAUGCGAUUCAGAUAUUUUUAAUCAUAGGAAUUUGUACCAUUCUGCUGCAAUAUGUAGGCCAUUGAAUAUGUUCAUCUAAGCAAUUGAUAGCAUUUUCCAGUUGCACAUAUCUUAUAUUUCGUAAUUGGAACCAGGAAGCUCCAUACAAACCCCAUGUCAAUUCUGUGGAAACACAUAAAAGUAACCAUAAUAUCCAAAUUCAAUGCUAGGAUUAAAUAAAGCACCUUACAUUUAUGUUGUGUCUAUUUAGACUAUAGUCCAAGGAACGACUAGGUAUUCUGUUGUAGAUGUCUAGGAUUUAGCAUUAUUGGCUUUGGCCCAAGAAUCACCUAAUAAUAUGAAGGAUAUGCUCUAAUAAAAAUACUCAAUAACUAAGAUAUCUUCUUGAGGCUUAUCAGGUCGUUCUUAUAUUUAUUGAAACGGCGGCCGGCCAACGACGUCUCUCGAUGGUAGCAGUCUGGGUGAUGCAGGAAGUUCUGAAACAAAUUAUUCAAUUUUCAUGAUGAGUACAGAUAAAAUGGAUGCUACGUGCUAUCCAAUGCCUCCGAUCAAAAUACAUAAAUUGUUGUUGUAGUUGUU